rnacentral:rRNA from 1 species
UACGUAGGGUGCGAGCGUUGUCCGGAUUUAUUGGGCGUAAAGAGCUCGUAGGCGGUUUGUCGCGUCGGCCGUGAAAUCUCCACGCUUAACGUGGAGCGUGCGGUCGAUACGGGCAGACUUGAGUUCGGUAGGGGAGACUGGAAUUCCUGGUGUAGCGGUGAAAUGCGCAGAUAUCAGGAAGAAUAUCCGUGGCGAAGGCGGCUCUCUGGGACGGUACUGACGCUGAGACGCGAAAGCGUGGGGAGCGAACGGG